rnacentral:rRNA from 1 species
GAUGAACGCUGGCGGCGUGCCUAAUACAUGCAAGUCGAGCGAACAGACGAGGAGCUUGCUCCUCUGACGUUAGCGGCGGACGGGUGAGUAACACGUGGAUAACCUACCUAUAAGACUGGGAUAACUUCGGGAAACCGGAGCUAAUACCGGAUAAUAUAUUGAACCGCAUGGUUCAAUAGUGAAAGACGGUUUUGCUGUCACUUAUAGAUGGAUCCGCGCCGCAUUAGCUAGUUGGUAAGGUAACGGCUUACCAAGGCAACGAUGCGUAGCCGACCUGAGAGGGUGAACGGCCACACUGGAACUGAGAAACGGUCCAGACUCCUAAGGGAGGCAGCAGUAGGGAAUCUUCAGCAAUGGGCGAAAGCCUGACGGAGCAACGCCGCGUGAGUGAUGAAGGUCUUCGGAUCGUAAAACUCUGUUAUUAGGGAAGAACAAAUGUGUAAGUAACUAUGCACGUCUUGACGGUACCUAAUCAGAAAGCCACGGCUAACUACGUG